UUUAGUCAGGCAACGAGCGAGACCCGUGCCCACUGUUACCAGCAUGUCCUCCGGGAUGAUGGGUACUCUGUGGGGACCGCCGGUGUUAAAUCGGAGGAAGGUGCGGGCCACGGUAGGUCAGUAUGCCCCGAAUUUCCCGGGCUACACGCGGGCUACAAUGGAUGGGACAAUGGGUCCCUUCCCCGAAAGGGGUUGGUAAUCUCACAAACCCAUUCGUAGUUCGGAUCGAGGGCUGUAACUCGCCCUCGUGAAGCUGGAAUCCGUAGUAAUCGCGUUUCAAUAUAGCGCGGUGAAUACGUCCCUGCUCCUUGCACA
rnacentral:rRNA from 1 species